rnacentral:rRNA from 1 species
UGGAUUAAGAGCUUGCUCUUAUGAAGUUAGCGGCGGACGGGUGAGUAACACGUGGGUAACCUGCCCAUAAGACUGGGAUAACUCCGGGAAACCGGGGCUAAUACCGGAUAACAUUUUGAACCGCAUGGUUCGAAAUUGAAAGGCGGCUUCGGCUGUCACUUAUGGAUGGACCCGCGUCGCAUUAGCUAGUUGGUGAGGUAACGGCUCACCAAGGCAACGAUGCGUAGCCGACCUGAGAGGGUGAUCGGCCACACUGGGACUGAGACACGGCCCAGACUCCUACGGGAGGCAGCAGUAGGGAAUCUUCCGCAAUGGACGAAAGUCUGACGGAGCAACGCCGCGUGAGUGAUGAAGGCUUUCGGGUCGUAAAACUCUGUUGUUAGGGAAGAACAAGUGCUAGUUGAAUAAGCUGGCACCUUGACGGUACCUAACCAGAAAGCCACGGCUAACUACGUGCCAGC